UUAGACUUAUCAAUUUAAAAACCCUGUACCAUUCGUUUAGAUUAUUACAAGAUUUAUUUCAUUUCGAAUUGAUCAAAGUUGGUUUGAUUAAGUUCAAUUUUUUUUUACUAUGGUUACUUAAUACUUUUGUGGAAACAAGUUGCUUUUCAAAAGUAAAACAAAAACUUAUUUUUUACUGAAAAAAUAGUAUAUACAAUUUUAAAAAAUUAAAGACAUUAUGGAAAUUUCCAUUAGCUAAAAACAUUUACCUACGAAUCUUUUGACCAAAGAGAGAGAGAAAAAUACAUAAUUUUGUCAUUUACCUCAUUCUCACCACCUUCCUCCAAAAACGCUUUCUCUUUCUCCCUCACUGUCUCUCUCACAAAUAUUUUCUUCCUCCAUCAAUCAUCUCUAAAAACAACAUUUUUAGAGAAAACAAAGUUGAACAUGGAAGAAGAUGAUUAUGGUGGUGGGGGUAUUGGAGCUGGUGGAAGUCACAAAGGAAAAAAAGUUCCAAAUCCUAUUAAGCAAGAGCAUUAGCAACGUUCUCAGAAUCCAAGUCCACAAAACCCUAUAGUAGAAGAAGAAUUUGAUGAACCUAUAAGGGAAUUUGGGGAUGGGAGUCGUCUUAUCUUCGAUUUGACAGGGACACACUUACGUUUGCUUGGAAGAAUUGUAGAGCAAUCACAAGGUAUACUCGUAUCGUAUGUAGUAGAUCUGUAGAUACAUAUACUAGUUUAUGUAUCAACAAUAUCUAUAUAGCUUCUCUUUUAGCGAUUGAUUAUGGUCCGGUUUUUUUUUUUUUUUUUUUUUUUUUCAUUUUUCAUGAUUGAAAGAGGUGCUAUUUGUAUGCAGAUGAUUGCUGGGCAAGGGUUCUCCGUAAGAUCUUGGAAUUCGCGUACAACAGGAACAUUGAGAACGUUGCUGAACAAAUACCUUUGUCAAUGAAAGGUCUCAUUAACAAAGUCAAAGCAGGAAGGGAAAUAUAUGAGACUGGCAAGAGGUUAGGCAAGAGACAAGAUUUGACAAUUGAUUCCCUCAAGAAACCUAUUGAUUACAUUCGUGAGAAAGGACUUGAAAAGGAUUUUGGAAGAACUAAGGAAAACAUGUUUAGAGUGAGAGGAAGUUUUACUACAAAACCCAAUGCAACUCCGAAUGACAUCCGAGAUAUGUUGCUAAAUCAUGGUGUGGUGGGAAUAUAUGUUUACAUGGAAGAAAACUUUAGUGAACUUAAGGAGGUAUAAGUAAAAUAUGUUCAACUUUUAUUAUGUUUUAUAGUAGAUUAAGAUAUGAUUUAGAAUAUUAAAACUAGCAUGGCUUCAUGGCUUAUAUAUAUGUAAAAUUGUUUCAGGAAAUCUACACUUUGAAUAUACCACAAGGAGCCAU